rnacentral:rRNA from 1 species
GACGAACGCUGGCGGCGUGCUUAACACAUGCAAGUCGAACGGAAAGGCCCUGCUUUUGUGGGGUGCUCGAGUGGCGAACGGGUGAGUAACACGUGAGUAACCUGCCCUUGACUUUGGGAUAACUUCAGGAAACUGGGGCUAAUACCGUAUAGGAGCUCCUGCUGCAUGGUGGGGGUUGGAUAUUUUCGGCGGUUGGGGCUGGACUCGCGGCUUAUCAGCUUGUUGGUGGGGUAGUGGCUUACCAAGGCUUUGACGGGUAGCCGGCCUGGGAGGGUGACCGGCCACAUUGGGACUGAGAUACGGAGCAGAGUGCUACGGGGGGCAGCAGUGGGGAAUAUUGCACAAUGGGCGGAAGCCUGAUGAAGCAACGCCGCGUGCGGGAUGACGGCCUUCGGGUUGUAAACCGCUUUCGCCUGUGACGAAGCGUGAGUGACGGUAAUGGGUAAAGAAGCACCGGCUAACUACGUG